CUUGGCAUUUGGCUUAUUGUCCACAAUGGCAUUACCUACUGCGUGCAAUAGGUGAGUCUUACCUAGGCCAGUGCCACCAUA
rfam:Vibrio sp. JCM 19231 DNA, contig00008.